rnacentral:rRNA from 1 species
UACGUAGGGCGCAAGCGUUGUCCGGAAUUAUUGGGCGUAAAGAGCUCGUAGGCGGUCUGUCGCGUCGGAUGUGAAAGCCCGGGGCUUAACCCCGGGUCUGCAUUCGAUACGGGCAGACUAGAGUGUGGUAGGGGAGAUCGGAAUUCCUGGUGUAGCGGUGAAAUGCGCAGAUAUCAGGAGGAACACCGGUGGCGAAGGCGGUUCUCUGGGCCUUACCUGACACUGAGGAGCGAAAGCGUGGGGAGCGAACAGG